rnacentral:misc_RNA from 1 species
AUGGCCUCUAUUAUUAAUUCUUCGUUUGAACUUGUAGGAUUCUACUCAAGACUCGGAGAGUUGUUAUUUCUUGUCAAUUAGAGUAUGGUAUCUGAAUGGUGCAUUAUGUUACUUGAUUAUAAAUUCUACAUUCCUACUAAACCUACAACUUUCUCUACCAUUUCCUGUUAUGUGGCUUUUUAGUUGAAGUUGGAUGACAAAGAAAU